rnacentral:lncRNA from 1 species
GGUUGAUAAGGUGGAAUGGGAGUCGUCAGGCCUGGUAGUGAUCGGCAAAUUUGAUGUGGACGACGUGGUCAAGGCGAUGAAUUGCCACCACAGUGUUCUUCGUUCCAUCGAGAACAAUUACGAGCCCCCAAAGAAGAAGGAAGAGAAGAAGGAAGAGAAGGGGGGCAGUAGCGUUUUGUAUGUUUACGCCCACAACUACAAUCACUACAAUUGGAAGUGAAUUUGUUCUUCUAAUUGCUCUGCAAGAACAAGGGUGUGUAUGAAAUAAUUUCAAGAGUUUCAAAUCUAGAAGAGCACUGAAUUUGACAGAGCAUUUAAUUGUCAGAAUCAUAUCUGAUGUAAGGUUUUCAAAAGUUAGAUCUUUCUAUCUAUUUUUGUUGGUCCCAAUCGUGAAACUGAUGAAUGCAAAAGACUUUGCAUAGCACAAAUGCCGGUGCACGUCGCCGUAGUCAAGGCUAUACUUCUAGAUUCAGUGACAGGAAGAAUCUCACAGCGAGGGAGAGAGAGAGAGAGAGAACAAAGGGCCCAAGAUAAGAACAACCUUUUGUUUAAUGUCUAUAUCACCUUGCGGAAUUUCAUGGGAGAUUCGGCGCCAAAAAGUUACAACAUAAAAAAAAAGGUAAAGUCUUUUUGGAAACGCAGGGGUGGUGAAGUGGAAUCGGAGAGAGGAGAAGAAGGAACAGUCUCUGAUCAUGAAGUUCGUCUCUUCGCUUUCCCACGGUGCCACGCAAUGUGUUGGAAUAGUGGCAACGACCACUUCAAGUAGGGAAUCACCCAUGCCCGGAGGCUUGCUGCUGUAUGAUUUGCUGCUCAACUUGGAAAUUCAGUUCUGGGUUCAAACGCGACAACCUUUUGCAGGCUUUGAUGAAUCGGUCUCUCAUAAGAAGAAUAGACAGUUAAAGUUGCAACACAGCGGAUCUAGACGUGUGGAAUUUUCUUCUGCAUUAUGUCGUCUUUGACUAUUCGCUGAAAUCGCGAGGAAUUUGGUGGUGACGCGUCGUCCUACAAAGACUGUACCGUAGAAUCAAGCUAUAAAAACCGCAAACGUGAGCAGCAAGGCAUCUCGCAGCGUAUUUCUCGAUUUUCUGGCACAUCUUGAGCGAGCAACUCCAGUUUCCUUUCCUUGUAAGCAUGAAGAAGGCGACACUCUCAACUUGUGAAAACUGCAAGGGGAAGACUGACGCGCUCAAGAAGAUCAAAGGUAUAGCACAAUCUUUGCAUUGGAUCGCGGCCCUGAUUCCAUGAAAUCUCUGGUGCGGUUUUCCCAAUAGGGGUCGAUAAGGUGGAAUCGGAGUCGUCAGGCUGGUGGUGAUUGGAAAAUUUGAUGUGGACGACGUGCUAAAGGCGAUGGAUUGCCACCACAGUGUCCUUCGUUCCAUCGAGAACAAUUACGAGCCCCCCAAAAAGAAGGAAGCAGGCUCUAGCGUUAUAUAUGUGUACACCCACACCUACAACCAGUGGAAAACGUAUGAAACUAAAAAACGUAACGUUUUAAACGCGUUAAAAAACGCCGUUCUAAACUCCCAACGAGUUUGCACUAUUUGCGAAAAGAGACAAAGGUUUCUUUAGGGUUUCUUCAGAACUUCAUAAGGGAUCUCCCUCAUUGCUUUGCACGUUUUCACACCUCUUGCCCAAACUCCAGCACUCGCUCCGCUCCCCCAGUGUGAAUCUCAUGACAAUACUUACAUGUCCAGUGCCGCUCUGCUUGUAUCACAUGCUUCCAGCUCCAGCAUUCGUGGCGUCCUCCAAUUCCUGCCAUGAACCCUUAAAAAACCUCGCAGCAGUUUUUCCGAUUUCGAGCUAGCAGACCCAGCAGAUGCCGAUGAUGGGCAUCUGCUGCAGCAAGCCGCACAGGGUUCAGGGGGGCCAGCAGAAUCUAUGGUGGCAAGCACGGAGAACUGGUCCAGUGCUGAGACAAGCAGAUCAGCGAAACGGCUUCUUCUUUCAUUUGUUUUAGUAUGUUAUUCGGUUGGGUUUUAUAAACUUAAUAUUANNNNNNNNNNNNNNNNNNNNNNNNNNNNNNNNNNNNNNNNNNNNNNNNNNNNNNNNNNNNNNNNNNNNNNNNNNNNNNNNNNNNNNNNNNNNNNNNNNNNNNNNNNNNNNNNNNUUUGAACGUUUGCACGUCUAGCUGCAACUAUGACUGGAAGUGAGUUAAAUAGUGUUUGUGUGUAAAAAUAGAUUUUCUCUUCCACCUCAAAUUCUUGAAUGUGGAAUUCAUGGGAGUGAAGCCAAUUUCGAAAGUUGAUGUCUCAAUCAAGGGCAUUAAUUUAUCUCGGUUCAGAGUUCAAAAGUGAAUCUAAAACAUUGAUCCCACAGAAAGAAGAAAGAAAACGCACUGGUGCAUUUGACUGUAAAGGAAUGUGGUUCAUUCUUCACCUUGAACUUUGAGGAGAUUAAUUCUCUUCCUAAGAGUUUGAAAAUGAACGUGCGUCAUCACAUUUUAAAGAGUGGAACUCUGAAAAAAACCAUUUGUUUUAUUCCUCUCAACAGGAGGAGACUUGAACGAAGUCACUUUUCAAUUGCAGGAUAAAAAUGAUGUUUUGACGAAGUGAGUUCUUUACUAGAGCUGAGAGCCACAGUAUCAAACUAGAUUUAAUUUGUUUAGAAGAAUGUAUAAUGCUAUUCAAGCUUCAAAGUUUAGAAAAAUGGUCCGUGAACGUACACUGACCUUUCAAUCUUACCAUGGAUUUAAGCGAUCAAUGUAAGCUUCUUUGGUCUCCCAGCUAGAAUGGAUUUGACAAAGUUGAUGGCCAGUCGCGAUUGUGGUCCUUCUGGGUAAAAGUUUAAGUCAAGGACGCUUCUUUGGUCUCCCAGCAUGGGUUUUGUCAGCGAUUUCAAAAAGCUGCAACUCAUCAAAUGACGUCAAAUGUGAGGCACGAGAAAGGGAAGCCCAUGUGAAAGUCCAGUGUAUGCUCUGAAAACUUUCUAUACAAUGCAAGAGAGAAGCUUUGAAAUGGUCUUCGAUUUGGCAAUUUAGCGGUGGCUAAACUGUAGAAUCCAGCUAUAAAAACCGCCACAAAGUUCGAACGUGAGCAGCAAGGCAUCUCGCAGCGUGUUCUUCGGAGUUGCAAAGUCUCAGCAAAGGUUCAAGAAAAAAUCUCGAUCCAUUUUUCCUCCUUUUGCAAGCAUGAAGAAGGUGACACUCUCAACUUGUGGGAGCUGCGAGGGAAAGACUGAUGCGCUUAAGAAGAUCAAAGGUAUGUGGAUUGGAAAUUUGAAAGCUGAUAUCGUUUCUUGUUUUUGAACAACAGGGGUUGAUAAGGUGGAAUGGGAGUCGUCAAGCCUGGUAGUGAUCGGCAAAUUUGAUGUGGACGACGUGGUCAAGGCGAUGGAUUGCCACCACAGCAUUCUUCGUUCUGUCGAGAACGAUUAUGAGCCCCCAAAGAAGGACAAGGAGAAGAAGGGCGGUGGUUCUAGCGUUGUAUAUGUUUACACCCACACCUACAAUCACUACAAUUGCAAGUGAACUUCAGGAGUUUCUGAUCUAAAAGCCAAGUUCUUAGGGUUUCUUAUUUCGCAUACUUUAGUUUAAAAUUUAACCCUCAAUUUAACGUAAGG